rnacentral:rRNA from 1 species
UACGGAGGGUGCAAGCGUUAUCCGGAUUCACUGGGUUUAAAGGGUGCGUAGGUGGGUUGAUAAGUCAGUGGUGAAAUCCCCGAGCUUAACUUGGGAACUGCCAUUGAUACUAUUGAUCUUGAAUACCGUGGAGGUCAGCGGAAUAUGUCAUGUAGCGGUGAAAUGCUUAGAUAUGACAUAGAACACCAAUUGCGCAGGCAGCUGGCUACGCGAAUAUUGACACUGAUGCACGAAAGCGUGGGGAGCAAACAGG